rnacentral:rRNA from 1 species
AAUGGACGCAAGUCUGACCCAGCCAUGCCGCGUGCAGGAUGAAGGCCCUAUGGGUUGUAAACUGCUUUUGUACGGGAAGAAACUUCCGCACGUGUGCGGAAUUGACGGUACCGUGCGAAUAAGCACCGGCUAACUCCGUGCCAGCAGCCGCGGUAAUACGGAGGGUGCAAGCGUUAUCCGGAUUCAUUGGGUUUAAAGGGUGCGCAGGCGGAAUGAUAAGUCAGUGGUGAAAUCCUACAGCUCAACUGUAGAACUGCCAUUGAUACUGUCGUUCUUGAGUAUAGUUGAAGUGGGUGGAAUGUAUCAUGUAGCGGUGAAAUGCAUAGAUAUGAUACAGAACUCCGAUAGCGAAGGCAACUCACUAAACUAUAACUGACGCUCAUGCACGAAAGCGUGGGGAGCAAA